GCCGCCGCCGCCGCCGCGAUGCCCUACGCGACCCGAUUGCAAGACGCCGCCGCCCGCCGAUCUCCGCUCGCGCCCAGUCGCCGCUGAUCUCCGCUCGCGACCCGCCGCCGCCGCAAUCCCCGCACGCGACCCGUUGAGGACAGCCCGGCAAUCUCCUGUAGUGGACACGGUAGAGAUACGUUAGGUAUGUCAUCUCCCAGUAACACUGGGACGACGCGGAUUCCAUUUCACGAUAUAAGCAACACCAACCCCAAGGGUAAUACUCCCUCCUUAGCAGCCAAAGCUCGGAUGAAGAUUGCUCUUGGAGUUGCCUAUGCUCUGCAGUAAGAUAGUUUGUGAAGCCUCUGAAGAAAAAAAAAAGUUACUGAAUAUAUUUAUCUUUGAUUUUGUCAAGAACUGAAGUCUGGAAAGUUUGAUGCGAUUUUGUGCAUCGGGGCUGUGGUAAGGCUUUUCUUUUGUAUAGCCUCCAUAUCCGAUUUCAUUUUAUCAUGUUUUACAUUCAUUUUGCUUCUAUUGUUAAUCUAGCUUGUGCAUGCCCCCAAGGUAGCCUCUACGCUAAAGUUCUUUUGAUCUUUUGAAGAUAUGACACAUAGGGCCCCAUGUAGUUCGAUCUUGGACUUUGUAGCAUCUGUGCUACAUUACUUUUGUAGAUGGCAUUUAAUACUACUAAAUGCAAAUACAUACAGGAAGUCAAACCUUGUAGCUUUCAGGGUUGCAGGCAGUUCUAUUCUAUUUUGCUUAUUUUCAAUCGAAUUGCAGCUAUGUGGAGGCAAAACAAAGAAAGUUGUUUUCGUUGGUGUUCUUUAUAUUUCUUCAACACCAGUGGUAAUGUCUAAAAUCUAUAUAUCUGAAGUUACAUUUCUGAAUGUUUAGUUUUUCAGUAUCUCUCUCAUUUCAUCAUUUAUUUAUGCCUUGUAGUAACCAUAUUAUCAAAAUGCAGUGUACCAGUAACCAUAGCAAGAUUAUGAAACUGUUCUAAAGUCAAUGAGAGGAUAGCAAAGCUUGCUGGUGAUGUUGCUUUCAUUCAGGGAUAACAAUGGACAUGAUUUUUUUUUUGACAUGCCGCUCUUCUCCUCGAUUCCCCGUUUGAAGGAAAAAUGACGAUGUAACUGUAACCCAUGGAUUGAUACUUGAUAGGUGGGCGCACAAACAGAAACCGAACUUGGAAGGAAGUUGAGAGUUGAGGAUGCUCUAAAUGCAACUAAGAUAAAUCAGUAUGCCGUGUAAUUAAACACUUUGAGCCAUCGUUCUGCUUCUUAAUGAAGCAGCAUUAAGUCCAAAAGCUUGGUGCUUCUCGAAACAAUCUCAAGAAGCUGUUAUCUUUCCACUUCACAGAUAAAUGGUUUGACAUGUCACCUCUCUUGCAA